rnacentral:rRNA from 1 species
UGUGCCCUACGGGGGGCAGCAGUGGGGAAUAUUGCACAAUGGGGGAAACCCUGAUGCAGCGACGCCGCGUGAGUGAAGAAGUAUUUCGGUAUGUAAAGCUCUAUCAGCAGGGAAGAAGUUGACGGUACCUGAGUAAGAAGCCCCGGCUAACUACGUGCCAGCAGCCGCGGCAAUACGUAGGGGGCAAGCGUUAUCCGGAUUUACUGGGUGUAAAGGGAGCGUAGACGGCAGUGCAAGUCUGAAGUGAAAGCCCCGGGCUUAACCCGGGAACUGCUUUGGAAACUG